rnacentral:misc_RNA from 1 species
GUCCACACGUGCAUUCCUCUUCAAUUUUUGGCACAAGCGCCUUUUAAUGCCUUGGCCAAGUUGUUGGUUUCCUGUGUUGCAUACCUACGUCGAUGGAAUUCGUCGGGCAAUAUAUCCCAAGUUCUCCUACCGCUGCCCGUUUACGCGGUGCGGCUUCGGGUGAACCUCGAAGUAAAAUUCGUGUCCCGAUUUGCAUACAAAUUGCUAUGCAGUCCCGGCCCACGAUCGAAGCUUGACUUCGGGGAUGCAGAAAACACUAGCGGGUAAGGGGUCUUCGACCUCWCAUAUUUGCCCCCAAAUUGGCAUUACACGCCCCAUUCGAUUGACGUUCGGUGUCGCGAAGAUGUUUUACGUCUUGCAACUCGAUGUCCCGGAAGAAUGCUACCUGGUUGAUCCUGCCAGUAGUCAUAUGCUUGUCUCAAAGA